rnacentral:rRNA from 1 species
AUUGAACGCUGGCGGAAUGCUUUACACAUGCAAGUCGAACGGCAGCACGGGGGCAACCCUGGUGGCGAGUGGCGAACGGGUGAGUAAUACAUCGGAACGUGCCCGGUCGUGGGGGAUAACGUAGCGAAAGUUACGCUAAUACCGCAUACGAUCUGAGGAUGAAAGCGUGGGACCUUCGGGCCUCGCGCGAUCGGAGCGGCCGAUGUCAGAUUAGGUAGUUGGUGGGGUAAAGGCCUACCAAGCCGACGAUCUGUAGCUGGUCUGAGAGGACGACCAGCCACACUGGGACUGAGACACGGCCCAGACUCCUACGGGAGGCAGCAGUGGGGAAUUUUGGACAAUGGGCGCAAGCCUGAUCCAGCCAUGCCGCGUGCAGGACGAAGGCCUUCGGGUUGUAAACUGCUUUUGUAUGGAACGAAAAGGCUCUGGCUAAUACCUGGGGCUCAUGACGGUACCGUAAGAAUAAGCACCGGCUAACUACGUG